GACGAACGCUGGCGGCGUGCUUAACACCUGCAAGUCGAACGGAAAGGCCCUGCUUUUGUGGGGUGCUCGAGUGGCGAACGGGUGAGUAACACGUGAGUAACCUGCCCUUGACUUUGGGAUAACUUCAGGAAACUGGGGCUAAUACCGGAUAGGAGCUCCUGCUGCAUGGUGGGGGUUGGAAAGUUUCGGCGGUUGGGGAUGGACUCGCGGCUUAUCAGCUUGUUGGUGGGGUAGUGGCUUACCAAGGCUUUGAUGGGUAGCCGGCCUGAGAGGGUGACCGGCCACAUUGGGACUGAGAUACGGCCCAGACUCCUACGGGAGGCAGCAGUGGGGAAUAUUGCACAAUGGGCGGAAGCCUGAUGCAGCAACGCCGCGUGCGGGAUGACGGCCUUCGGGUUGUAAACCGCUUUCGCCUGUGACGAAGCGUGAGUGACGGUAAUGGGUAAAGAAGCACCGGCUAACUACGUG
rnacentral:rRNA from 1 species